rnacentral:rRNA from 1 species
UUGAAAGGGAAACGAUUGAAGUCAGUCAUACCAACGGGAAAUCAACCUUUUGAGCUUGGUUUCGUGGGUUUUGAAGAGUUUCAAAGCCUUCGGAUUCGCGAGAUUGGGAUCUCUCGGUGUACUUUCUCGUACGGUUAGUCAACAUCGGUUUUGAAUGUCAUAAAAUGACUGGAGGAAUGUAGCUUCGAUCUCGUAUUGAAGUGUUAUAGCCUUUGGUAGAUGUGAUGUUUGAGACCGAGGAUUGCAACGGAUACCCUUCAGGGCUAUUCGUCUGAUCUCUGAUACGUUGCCUUGAUGUUGAAAGCUUGCUUAUGGUGUUAGGGUAUUACGGUCAAAAGGUUAGAACGAAUUACAUUCGUUAAGGAUGUUGACGUA